CCUGAACGCUGGCGGCGUGGCUAAGACAUGCAAGUCGCACGGAGGUAGCAAUACCUUAGUGGCGAACGGGUGAGUAAUGAAUCGCUAAUGUGCCCCGGACUCUGGGAUAGCUGCCCGAAAGGGCAGGUAAUACCAGAUGAUAUAACCGAACCGCAUGGUUUGGUUCUCAAAGGUCCGCCGGUCUGGGAGCAGGCGAUUUCGUAUCAGCUAGUUGGUGAGGUAACGGCNCACCAAGGCGACGACGCGUAGCCGGACUGAGAGGUUGGCCGGCCACAUUGGGACUGAGACACUGCCCAGACUCCUACGGGGGGCUGCAGUAACGAAUCUUCCGCAAUGCACGAAAGUGUGACGGAGCGACGCCGCGUGUAGGACGAAGCCCCUUCGGGGUGUAAACUACUGUCGAAGGGGAAAGAAAGUUCUGAUCUACCCCAGAAGGGAGGGACGGCUAACUCUGUGCCAGCAG
rnacentral:rRNA from 1 species